ACAAGGUUUCCGUAGGUGAACCUGCGGAAGGAUCAUUACAGAGUUCAUGCCCGAAAGGGUAGACCUCCCACCCUUGUGUAUUAUUACUUUGUUGCUUUGGCGAGCUGCUCUUCGGGGCCUUGUAUGCUCGCCAGAGAAUAUCAAAACUCUUUUUAUUAAUGUCGUCUGAGUACUAUAUAAUAGUUAAAACUUUCAACAACGGAUCUCUUGGUUCUGGCAUCGAUGAAGAACGCAGCGAAAUGCGAUAAGUAAUGUGAAUUGCAGAAUUCAGUGAAUCAUCGAAUCUUUGAACGCACAUUGCGCCCCUUGGUAUUCCGGGGGGCAUGCCUGUUCGAGCGUCAUUUCAACCCUCAAGCUCAGCUUGGUAUUGAGUCCAUGUCAGUAAUGGCAGGCUCUAAAAUCAGUGGCGGCGCCGCUGGGUCCUGAACGUAGUAAUAUCUCUCGUUACAGGUUCUCGGUGUGCUUCUGCCAAAACCCAAAUUUUCUAUGGUUGACCUCGGAUCAGGUAGGGAUACCCGCUGAACUUAAGCAUAU
rnacentral:rRNA from 1 species